UACGUAGGUGGCGAACGUUGUCCGGAUUCACUGGGCGUAAAGCGCGCGCAGGCGGACUGGUAAGUCUGAUGUGAAAGCUCCCGGCUCAACUGGGAGAAGCCAUUGGAUACUGCCCGUCUUGAGACACUUAGAGGAGAGUGGAAUUCCCGGUGUAGUGGUGGAAUGCGUAGAUAUCGGGAGGAACACCAGUGGCGAAAGCGGCUCUCUGGGAGUGUUCUGACGCUGAGGCGCGAAAGCGUGGGGAGCAAACCGG
rnacentral:misc_RNA from 1 species